GGCCUGGAGGAACAGAGGGAAAAAACAAGCCACUUUCAUUCCCCCUCUGCUGUUUUCACAGGCCCAGUGUCUGCACUCCUGAUAAGGCUCAGAAGUGUCUUUGCCUGUUCUUGGCGUGGGGAGCAAGUGGCACAAACAUCAACCUCAAGCCGUCAUCACUGAGGCAUCUUCUACUUGCACCAUUUUGACGAUGACUAAUUUUCAUGGCGGCGUAAAGCAAAAUGUUGGCUUUUGGAUGAUGUCGUCAAGGACGCUCACCUGUACGGUGCAUCAUGGGAACUGAAAUGGUGAAGGACCGGGUGACGAGGAAGGCACGGUUGUCCACCAUCUUGUGGUGAAACCUCUCGUCCCAGUGAGCUGUGAGGAUUGGAGUGCCGUGUUAACUUGGAGCUACAGCACGUUCUCAGACAUCACAACGUGAAAUGAAAGGGUUAAAGGCCUUUUCUGAUCUGUGCAACACAAUAACGUCCCCUGAAACAAUUCUUGGUCUGGAAUGGGACUGUCCUACAAGUAAUUAGAAAGUUUUCAGAAGUACCUCAACAUUAUCUAUCAUGUGAACAGUCCAAUGGGAGACCUUGAAAGGAACAGCUGCUCAUAAAAUCGAAUGUUAUGUGGUCAAACCUUUCCACAGCUAUUUGGUGUGAGAAGACCCCUUUCCUUACCUGCCCCAGAGGUAUACCCCAAGAAAUUGUGGAGGGUCUACUCACGCUUGAAGAACAUGGCGUUGACGAUCAUGGCGCCAUCGGUCUUGUCCACGUCCUUGGUGACCUCGGGCAGCUUUCCGUCGGUGGACUUGGCCGCCCACUCGUUGAUGGACUUGAGGGCGCUGCGCUUGUCGCGGAAGUUGAUCUUGGAGUGCUCGUAGUUGUAGUGCUUCUUGCUGCUCUUCACGAAGUCGUCGGCGAAGUUGACGGAGCUGGGCCCGUACAGGCGGCCGCUGAUCUUCCAGGUGACGUUGCGGGCGGUGGAAUUGCUGACCUCGGUCAGGAGCUCGGCCAGGCCGGCGUGCAGGUGCUCGUCCUUGACCGCGCCGGCGGCGAGCACCGUCUUCACCUGCGAGGCCGUGGAGGCCUUCCCGCCCAGAGCCACCAGGCCCAGGGAGGAGGCCACCACCACGGGGGAGAUGGCGAUGUUCUCCAGGUCCUUCUCCUUGGCCACGUUGUGGUAGAGGUUGAACGCCAGGUUGGCGCUGUUGUCCGCCAGGGCGGUGGCGUGGCUGCUCAGCUUCCCUUCCUCCCCGGCCGCCAGUCCCGCCAAGAUCGCCAGUAGGCACAGAGCCGCCAUGUUCGUCGCCCGCAUGCUUUCGAGAGUGGACUCAAACCAAGAUGGAGCUCUGGAAGCGUGAUGGACAGACACAGAAAAAAAAGAGAGGGAGAAGUGUCUUAAUCUGUCCUUCCUGCUGUGAAAUUUUGCACAGUGUUAAUUUUGAAAUGAUUAUUACUUUUGGUAAGGGUAUUCUUUUUUUUAAAAAAUGCCUAAAUCCUUAAUUUUACACUUCAAAACAAAGCUUUUGAGGUGUUUCCUACUCCAGUGCUGAGAGAGUUCAGACAGAAAGCUUUUGUAGCAUUUCCACCUGAAAGCUCAGAGCUUAGUCGCUUCCUGCUCUCUAUAUUUAGCAGAUUGAACUGAAGAGACUGGAGGAUAAGUGUAAUUACAGGCUGCGUGUCCGUGCUGAGCUCUGGAGCCACAGUUUCCGAGCCAGUGGUGAGCAGAUGUUUUGUAUAACGGCCACGUCAGCUGCUGGAGGGCACACAACCCAUGCAGAGGCCAAACGGCUUAAGCAAAAAUAAACGACUAUUUAAAAAUGUUUCUGCUUAAGAGAGGAUAUAUUUCCCCAGCACUCGUAAUCAGAGCCACACUCAGCUCAGAAACGUCUGAGAAAGUUAGUAGUUUUUUAUAAAGACUUUAUGCGACUCACCAGGAUUAGCACAUGAAACAAUCAAUAAAACACGUUAUAAGCAAAGCAAAAUCCAUUUACAAAGCAUAUUUCGUGAACAGGGCUGUUACUUUCCUUGUUUUUCGUGUGAUGUAUUUUAAAACGGUAUGAAUGGAUUGUUUAAAUGCAAACCCCCAGGUGUGGUUAUACACAGACUGCUAUUGUUUAAACAA